GACAGAGGGUGCAACCGUUGUUCGGAAUUACUGGGCGUAAAGCGCGUGUAGGCGGCUAUGCAAGUCGGACGUGAAAUCCCACGGCUCAACCGUGGAAGUGCGCUCGAAACUGCGUAGCUAGAGUCCUGGAGAGGAAGGUGGAAUGCUUGGUGUAGAGGUGAAAUUCGUAGAUAUCAAGCGGAACACCGGUGGCGAAGGCGGCCUUCUGGACAGUGACUGACGCUGAGACGCGAAAGCGUGGGGAGCAAACAGG
rnacentral:rRNA from 1 species